rnacentral:rRNA from 2 species
CGGGAUUUAGUAGACAGAAGCCUCGGUGGAAGAUUACUAAUGAGAGUGGCGAACGGGUGAGUAACGCGUGAGCAACCUGCCUAUGACAGUGGGAUAGCCUCGGGGAACCGGGAUUAAUACCGCAUAAAAUCGUAGAAACACAUGUUUCAACGGUCAAAGAUUUAUCGGUCAUAGAUGGGCUCGCGUCUGAUUAGCUAGUUGGUGAGAUAACAGCCCACCAAGGCGACGAUCAGUAGCCGGUCUGAGAGGAUGAACGGCCACAUUGGAACUGAGACACGGUCCAAACUCCUACGGGAGGCAGCAGUGGGGAAUAUUGCACAAUGGGGGAAACCCUGAUGCAGCGACGCCGCGUGAACGAAGAAGGUAUUCGUAUCGUAAAGUUCUGUCCUAUGGGAAGAUAAUGACAGUACCGUAGAAGAAAGCUCCGGCUAAAUACGUGCCAGCAGCCGCGGUAAUACGUAUGGAGCGAGCGUUGUCCGGAAUUAUUGGGCGUAAAGGGUACGCAGGCGGUUUAAUAAGUCGAAUGUUAAAGAUCGGGGCUCAACCCCGUAAAGCAUUGGAAACUGAUAAACUUGAGUAGUGGAGAGGAAAGUGGAAUUCCUAGUGUAGUGGUGAAAUACGUAGAUAUUAGGAGGAAUACCAGUAGCGAAGGCGACUUUCUGGACACAAACUGACGCUGAGGUACGAAAGCGUGGGGAGCAAACA